ACCAUGGUUACGUGCCAGCGCUGACCCGGUGCCGGGCAGAGGCACCGAGGAGCGACGGCCGCAGAAAGCAGCUGCCCAAGCGCAGUCUUCUCCCUUUGAUCCUGCAGGGGUUCACCCAUAAAUGCAGCCAUUGGCUACCGGAUGGGCGGUUUUGCAGCCAGCGGGUCUGUGACUUCCUGUUAGGAACAGGAAGUCUGAAGUGGAAUGUAGUGAAGCAGCUGCUCUUCAUGUGUGCAGAGAGGGUGGAAUUCCUUUGCCUUACGUACUGAGAGAGAAUGAAGACAACAGCAAAUCACUGAUGACAUAAGAUCCAUGGAACAAGCAGCAAAGCACGGGGCCUUGAAGGCAGCCAGUCCGUGGCAGUGGAACAGAAACCGGACUCAUCAAUCUUUAUUAGGUUAGCUGUACCACAGCUUAGUAACGAUGCAGCCACAGGCCAAAUUCUUGGCCCGACCUUUUCCUGCUCUCUCCAUGUGACCUUCACUGCCGGACCAAGGGACGUCUGUCUGGAAGAAGCAGAGCCAUGAGAUGAGGACACGUGGCCUCGGGACGGCCGCGCUCUGAACGCGAAGCGGUGUCUGAGUCUUAUCAAACGUGGGCCUGACCGUAAUCCCGUCUGACCGAUUUACAGAACAGACGAGUAUUAAGAAUGAUCUUUGGGGUGAGAUUUAUGACUGCAUAGAGAUUCGCCCACAGUGUGCUUAAUAUCUGCAGCUCAAAUGAGAUCCAGAUGGAAAAUGGCCAUAAGUUUAUUAUAGUGUCAUAUCUGGAAAUUUCUCUGGGGGGGGGGCAAAUUUCAAACAUUAGUUCAGAUAGCCAGGCCAUCCGCAGAUGUGUGUCAAAACUACUGGAUGAAGUUUGAAGAAAAAAUUUUGUUGUCCUCAAAAUUGUUUUAAUUUGGAGGGUCCUGCUGAAUCAUUGUUGAUCCAAAGACUAAAUUACUAGUCAAACUAUACUACACAAGUGCUGCCAACUCAGAAAAACAGCCUAGCGUGAGCUUUUUAGAUUGGGGGGGUGUCAUUACAAAUU